rnacentral:rRNA from 1 species
CCUACGGGAGGCAGCAGUGGGGAAUAUUGGACAAUGGGCGAAAGCCUGAUCCAGCCAUGCCGCGUGUGUGAAGAAGGCCUUUUGGUUGUAAAGCACUUUAAGCGAGGAGGAGGCUACUUAGAUUAAUACUCUAGGAUAGUGGACGUUACUCGCAAAAUAAGCACCGGCUAACUCUGUGCCAGCAGCCGCGGUAAU